rnacentral:rRNA from 1 species
UACGUAGGGGGCAAGCGUUGUCCGGAAUCAUUGGGCGUAAAGCGCGUGUAGGCGGUCCGGUAAGUCGGUUGUGAAAGUCCAGGGCUCAACCCUGGGAUGCCGAUCGAUACUGCCGGACUAGAGUCCGGAAGAGGCGAGUGGAAUUCCCGGUGUAGCGGUGAAAUGCGCAGAUAUCGGGAGGAACACCAAUGGCGAAGGCAGCCUCGCUGGGCCGAAACUGACGCUGAGGCGCGGAAAGCUAGGGGAGCAAACGGG